UACGUAGCGUGUAUAAUUGUUAGUUACACCGUGUCGAUGCGUGAUCGUGAUAUCAGUCUUCACUCUUCGGAUUGAGUAUUUUAGAAACACCACGUUCGUCUUCGUAAUUAGUAUCCCGUAUUUUUGCUAUUACCAAACACCGGCGUUCACUGGCUUCUGAGUUACGAAUUUGUGAUCAUUCUGCGCGUGCAUUGUCACAAUCGAAGUGGCUGAAGACGAAGUAUGAUUUCCUGUAUGGAAACUGUUCCAUUUUACGAUGAUCUGCGCCCAUAGUGCACUCUUUUUACUUGAAUUAGAACAGUUAAUGAUACUGGUGGAUUUUCAUUUAGUCAAGUGAAGUUUGAAUAUAUAAGUGAUUUGUGUACUUAAUCAUGGAAGCGUUUAAAGUUCUAACCAGAGUCAGGCCACUCUGUGAGCGUGAUAUGGAUAUGCACAAUAAGAGCAUUCUCACGGUGGAUCAGCACAGCCACGAAGUACUUGUGCCGGGCUAAUGGCAAGGAUAGCGACCUGCGUCGAUUUGCGUAUGGCGGAGUUUAUGAUCCCCAGGAGACAGCGGCCAGCAUCUUCACCGAGAGCAUCGUGGAUCUCCUUAAGGGUGCUCUAAAUGGACACGAGUAGUCGAGUAUAACUGUGCCGUGUUCGCUUACAGCCAAACCGGAAGUUGUAUGACCUGCACCAUGCACGGAUCGCAGGAGUUCGGGCGGAUAAAGGUAUGGAGGUUCGUGCCAUCGUUAGCUCUUUGGACAGACGGAACAGCAGCCCGACGGUUGCCGCUCUUUGGUGCCUGGAGAUCUACACAGAUAGAUCUCUCUGAUGUCAACAAAAAUAUCUAAUUUCACUGUUGCACCGGCUCGUCAGAUCUAUCGAAGGUCCCAUUUCCCAGUGGUAUGGCGCUCGCUCGGUGCACUGAUGUGGUUAGGAACCACCGCUAGUAAUUGUUAACGUCGGUAAUAUGGAGCAAACGAAACACGUCACGUCGAAGCAGUACGAGUUAAUACAAAGCCAAGUUUGCGCAGCUAUGUAAACACAGAAGCAACCAAGCUAGUUCGAUCAAAAACUUCAAUACGGGAUACGGACUUCUAACUAGUAACUGCACCCCAUACUUCGAUGUGAUUCAGCAUCUGUAAACUAAGCAGAGCAUCUCAUUACCCGGGUGAACUUGACGGCCUCCGAUUCCUGCCCGUGGAAAUUAUGGCCGAGGUCUUCCAGUACCUGCGCACCGUUGACCGUCUGCGGGCGGUGUGCGCCGGUUGGAACUGCAUCCUCACAUCGGCCGCAGUACACACAUCAGACUUUCAUCUCAAAGGGAUCUUCAGCUCGGCGAUGCUUUCGCUUAUCGUCCGGUGGCACGAACUAUGUCCCGGAUGUAUGUGCGCAUAACUGUCGCGGAAACCGCAAUGUAGCCGUUAUCUGCUCCCGCUCGAGGCACAAAAGAGAUACCUUUGAUUUACUAUUUUUUAAUCACUUCUUCCUGCGUGAGAGCAUGCCGGGAGGAGCCGAACAGAAAGUGUUCUUGGAUAAUCUUGUACUGAAAUAAGUUGCAUGCUGCAGUAUACCGUUUGACGACGAUUACAUUGCCGCUCUUCACAACGCCUUUGACUCGCUGGCGGCGAUUUGUCACAACCUGACCGUGAAGAACUGCAUGUUCCAGGCUACAACGUCUCACCCUGAUGGCUGCGUACUGAUGACGAUACGAAUUCCUUUCGGAAAAAUGAGUCACGAACGGCGUCUCACUGUCACUGACUGGUGGGACAUGAUCGAGCAAAGCUUCCCGCUGUUGGACGAUCAACAAAAGAAUCGUCUCUCCGAUGUUUUGAGUGGCCGCCAACGACUAUAUAAUAAUUUCUUUGUUUAUAAAGACCUACGGAAGAUCCUACGUGGGCGCCAGCAUGGGGAUCCUCGGAAGAGUUGCAUUGACUUGCAGCCGUUAAGUGAUCAACUGGAGUCUUCCGAUGUGAGCCAGCUGUCGCGAAUGGUGCAGUAUAUGAUGUACUGUCGCAUAAACAAAACACAUAUCGACGUUGAGAUGGCAUGGCUCACUUUUUAAUGCUUUCCCUCCUGUUAAACACUUUUAUAGAAGAACUGCGCUUCCGGCGUCGGCAACGUGUUUCCUGUUUUCUUGGAUUCCUCUGUUAUGUAAACUUGAUAGCGAUAUUCAUACAUGUAUAAUGUCCAAAAUCAUUUUUAGCAUCUUUGUUCCCUUUGCUACGAUAGGCAACGCUAACUGCUGGCAUCAACAAUGGUGCAGUAUUUCCUUGAUAAUAACAACGUUACAAAACGUCAAGCAAUACGACGUUCGCCUUCAUUGAGACGCAUGAUUAGUUAACAACACUGUGCAGUGACAGGCGCUA